AUUGAACGCUAGCGGGAUGCCUUACACAUGCAAGUCGAACGAGUGGCGGACGGGUGCGUAAUGCAUCGGAAUCUGCCCAGUAGCGGGGGAUAACUUCUCGAAACGGUGGCUAAUACCGCAUACUAUUGGAUCAGCCUAGAUCGGAUUAGCUAGUUGGUGGGGUAAAGGCUCACCAAGGCUACGAUCCGUAACUGGUUUGAGAGGAAGAUCAGUCACACGGGAAAUGAGAAACGGCCCAGACUCCUACGGGAGGAAGCAGUGGGGAAGUUUGGACAAUGGGCGAAAGCCUGAUCCAGCCAUUCCGCGUGUAUGAGAAGGACUUCGGGUUGUAAAGGACUUUUGGCUGAGAGGCGGUAUCAGCAGAAUAAGCACCGGCUAACUACGGGCCAGCAGCCGCGGUAAUAC
rnacentral:rRNA from 1 species